rnacentral:rRNA from 1 species
UACGUAGGGGGCAAGCGUUGUCCGGAAUCAUUGGGCGUAAAGCGCGUGUAGGCGGCUCGAUAAGUCUGCUGUGAAAGUCCAGGGCUCAACCCUGGAAUGCCGGUGGAAACUGUCGAGCUAGAGUCCGGAAGAGGCGAGUGGAAUUCCUGGUGUAGCGGUGAGAUGCGCAGAUAUCAGGAGGAACACCAAUGGCGAAGGCAGCUCGCUGGGACGGUACUGACGCUGAGACGCGAAAGCGUGGGGAGCAAACAGG